rnacentral:lncRNA from 10 species
GUUUUCCUCCUACUUCUUGCCAACUCUUUUGGUCAGACUCUGACUUCCAAGUCCAGAGAUCGUUGUACCAAAGCACCUUCUGGCCUUUCUUAUGACUUAGUCAUGGAAGAUGAAUCAUGUCUGACCAGAGAUCUGGCAGAGAGGAGGCCCCAGUGAAAGCUGUUUGCUGGCUUUUCUACUCUUUAGGAUGGAUGUGGGAAAAAAAGCACGGGCUGCUUAAGAAAAUCAAGGCUCUGCUACCAAAGGCAGAAAUCUGAUUCAGGAAAGAGAAAAUGAAUGAAUGGGAGCUCUGUAAACCACAUCAGAUGCCAGAGGUAUUAAAUGGAAUGAUAAAGCUAAAUAUUUCAACAGAGCUUGGCACAUUGUAAGUGCUCAGUAGAUAGUGGCACUAAUUGUUGUCAGUGUCUAUAUAGUUGUUAUGACAGCUAUCAUAGUUAGUGGUAAGCUUUCCCUUUAGCACAUAGGCUGAAGUGUAGGUCAUUUCUCUUUGCCUCACUCUGAGAUCAGGGAAAAAAACAAGAACCCAUCCUUUUUCAAGUUAAAAAAUGAAGGUUCAUCAAGUGUCCUCCGUGUGUGAUUGUGUCACAGCCUAAGAAAUUCUCAUUCUCCCAAUGACCACCAGCCAAAACUCCAGCAAUACCACAUUGGACGGGCUGAGUGAGAAGAAAACCCACUGGAGCUAAGGGCAAUUAUGAGGUGCAGGAGACACGAAG